AGCGAACGCUGGCGGCAGGCUUAACACAUGCAAGUCGAGCGCCCCGCAAGGGGAGCGGCAGACGGGAGAGUAACACGUGGGAACAUACCUUUUGGUUCGGAACAACUGAGGGAAACUUCAGCUAAUACCGGAUAAGCCCUUACGGGGAAAGAUUUAUCGCCGAAAGAUUGGCCCGCGUCUGAUUAGCUAGUUGGUGAGGUAACGGCUCACCAAGGCGACGAUCAGUAGCUGGUCUGAGAGGAUGAUCAGCCUCACUGGGACUGAGACACGGCCCAGACUCCUACGGGAAGCAGCAGUGGGGAAUAUUGGACAAUGGGGGCAACCCUGAUCCAGCCAUGCCGCGUGAGUGAUGAAGGCCUUAGGGUUGUAAAGCUCUUUUGCCCGGGAAGAUAAUGGCGGUACCGGGAGAAUAAGCCCCGGCUAACUUCGUG
rnacentral:rRNA from 1 species